rnacentral:rRNA from 1 species
CAGCAGCCGCGGUAAUACGUAGGGUGCAAGCGUUAAUCGGAAUUACUGGGCGUAAAGCGUGCGCAGGCGGUUUGUUAAGACAGAUGUGAAAUCCCCGGGCUCAACCUGGGAACUGCAUUUGUGACUGGCAAGCUAGAGUCUGGCAGAGGGGGGUGGAAUUCCGCGUGUAGCAGUGAAAUGCGUAGAUAUGCGGAGGAACACCGAUGGCGAAGGCAGCCCCCUGGGCCAACACUGACGCUCAUGCACGAAAGCGUGGGAAGCAAACAGGAUUAGAUACCCCAGUAGUCCCUGUCUCUUAUAA